rfam:Pteropus alecto contig107586, whole genome shotgun sequence.
GUCUAUGGCCAUGCCACCCUGAACAAGCCCGAUCCCAUCUGCUCUCGGAAACUAAGCAGGGCCGGGCCUGGUUAGUACUUGGAUGGGAGACCACCUAGGAAGACCAGGUGCUGUAGGUG